AAGAAAAGAAAAGAAAAGAAAAGAAAAGAGAAAAGAAAAAAGAAAAAAGACCUUUCUCCUCCCCCCGUUUUGGUUAUGGUUAGUAUUUUGCCAUCGGUUUCUUGCACGAAGAGCCGAGAGCGGGCACAGAGUAAGGCAGAGGGAGCUGCCGAGCCCCUGAAGCCAGGGAGCUGCAAGCUCCCAGCCGUGGGUCGGGGGUUUGAGGAGCUCGUCCUUCCCGCGGGGGAGGUGGGGAUUGCCUUUCAGGGCAGGUACGCGGCCAGGCCGGCCGCCCAGCCGGCUCCCCGCGGGGCAUGGCUGCCGGCCCCUCGGCGGGGCAGCGCCCGGGGCAGGCCCGGGGCUGCGCCUCCCGGUAGAGUAGGAAUUUCAGACCGUGCUUCAGUCGGGGAGGAAACAACUGCAUUUGCAGCGAGGAACACAGAAAGCUCUUUCUUAGUUAUUAGUGGAAAAAAAAUGAAAGAAGAAAAAAGAAGGAAAAAAGCAAAGAAAAUAAAAAAUAAAAAAUAAAGAAAAAGAAAAAAGAAAAAUGAAAAACGAAAAAAGAAAAAAGAAAACAACAACAACAACAACAAAGUGAGAAAAAGGAUUUAACUCAUCUUCUGCCACUUCGCUGUACAAACUGGGCAUCAAUCCAACACCCACGUUCAAACUCAGCCGCCGCAAUCAACAUCUCACCUGCUUCGCAUCUACCCUACCAGCCAACUCCUAGCUCAGCCAAACACAGCAACUGUCUCCACCUCAAGUCCAAGGACUUGAUGGAUGUCCCUUUAGCCUUGCUUAGCGACUGUGUGUGGCUCCCCACUGUGAUCUGCCAGGGUCUGGAGGCACAGCAGGAUCCAAGAUGGGUUGUGAUGGGAAAUGGAGGAGGAUUUUAAGGCUCUGGACUGGUGGGGAGUGGAGAGAAGAUUGGAAAUGAAAUUAAGACCAUUUGGUUCUGUGUCCACAAGCGGGUUGAAUGAGCCCUGAGCUGCUGUACCUACUCCAUAGCAAAGCUCUCAUGUACUUCAGGGAGGAUUCUGCAGACCUAAGGACUGAGGAGUCGGUACUGGGAGCUAAGGAAACAACAUGAAUAAUUUCCUUCAUAGCUGGUUUAGAAAAAGCCAGCUGCUUUCUACAGUUGUGCCAAAACUAAGAGGAGAUGGUCUGAGGUUAAGAAACACGUGGGAUAAUUUUCAUACCAAAUGUGAAAAAUGAGAAAUUGCUUUAACAUAUAGUAACUUGCCAUAAAAAUGUGAUACGUGUUCCCUUCCAGCUUUAAAAGGAGACUUUAUAAACUCUAUCGUCUUUGAUUUACUGAGGCAACUUUAGAUUUAUUUUUUUAAUUCAUACGUUUGUGAGAAAACAUAACGAAACCCUUGAUGUUUUUAUGAUCUUGAUUAGCAAUUCAUUGUGUAAGUAUUUGGUUAUUAAAACAUACACUAAAUAUUGCACUGUAAAAUCUGUUGCAACUUAUUCAAUAUAUUUUGGAAUUAAUAGAAAAAAUGAGAAGAUUGCAAAAAUGGUAUUGAGUUUUAUUUUGUUUCAUUUAAUAAAAAACUCACUUGACUGCACAGUCCUUUGCUUAAUUUUCUCACUUGUUGUGUAUAUAUUUGAAGAAAAAUGUCUGUUGCAUAUCAUCUAUCUAACACUAAAACCUGAUGCUGUUAUUAAUAAGUUACUGAGAAAAAUAAACCAGUUUUCACUUUGAUUUCUAUCACUCCUGGUGAGUGAUUCUUCUGGAAUAAACAUAGCUCUAACACAUGUAAACAACACAGGAAAUUAAUAACAAAAUUCUUUGGAUUUAUUUCAGAUGCUGCAUACUUUAUGUAAAUAUAUGUGGCUUUCAAUUUCAAUGAUUUUCCAGUAAGUAAUAAACUUUGCUCAUUAACCUCCUCUUAAACUAAACAUUUAUUACUUUAUAAGUGUUAUUUCAACUAAAUCAAGUGGAUGUUCUGGGUAAAUUAAUGCAACAGAUCUGUUCAACCAGAGAAGCAGGAUGACUUCUUUUGAGUUGGGAAAACUGUGAGUUUCUACUUAAACUUCAAGGGAAUGAGACGCAGUAUAUUAUGUUGAUUUUUAAUGUGAAAGAUGUUGAUAAUAUCUUUUUAAAAUUAAUCUACUUUUCCCUCAUAAGCUCGGUGGUAAAACAUGGGAAAUAUCCCAUCAGUUGGAUAAAGUCACAUCUAUCCAUUCCAUGAACCUUGGGUUAGUAAUUUUUCGCAGAACUGGCUUGGUGUUUGGUUUGUUGGUUUUUUUUUCACUACCAGCCGUGACUAGUCAGUAUUUUCCUGAAGUGAUGAGUUGGGUAUCUUUUCUGGAAACAGAUUUCUUUUAAGUGUAUAAUUUUAAGAAUAUAAGGACAAAAAUGUUUUGC